rnacentral:rRNA from 1 species
ACUCCUACGGGAGGCAGCAGUGGGGAAUAUUGCACAAUGGGCGCAAGCCUGAUGCAGCCAUGCCGCGUGUAUGAAGAAGGCCUUCGGGUUGUAAAGUAUUUUCAGCGGGGAGGAAGGGAGUAAAGUUAAUACCUUUGCUCAUUGACGUUACCCGCAGAAGAAGCACCGGCUAACUCCGUGCCAGCAGCCGCGGUAAUACA